rnacentral:rRNA from 1 species
GCUUAUACUCGACCGUCAGCGGCACGUGCGAUCGCCCUCUCGCGAGGGCGGUCACGAAGCUCUGACGAGUAGGAGGGUCGCGGCGGUGAGCGCAGAAGGGCUGGCCGCGAGGCCGUCUGGAGCCGCCGUCGGUGCAGAUCUUGGUGGUAGUAGCAAAUACUCCAGCGAGGCCCUGGAGGACUGACGUGGAGAAGGGUUUCGUGUGAACAGCCGUUGCACACGAGUCAGUCGAUCCUAAGCCCUAGGCGAAAGCCGAUGUCGAUGCGGUGUAGCGUUUAUAUAUAUUUAAAUAAGUAUUAAAGCCGAGAACACACCCGUCGGGCGAAAGGGAAUCCGGUUCCUAUUCCGGAACCUGGCAGCGGAACCGUCAAUAAGUCGGGC